rnacentral:rRNA from 1 species
GUUCCAGACUCCUACGGGAGGCAGCAGUGGGGAAUAUUGCACAAUGGGGGAAACCCUGAUGCAGCGACGCCGCGUGGGCGACGAAGCGCUCCGGCGCGUAAAGCCCUGUCAGCAGGGAAGAACAAAGACAGUACCUGACCAAGAAGCCCCGGCUAACUACGUGCCAGCAGCCGCGGUAAUACGUAGGGGGCAAGCGUUAUCCGGAUUUACUGGGUGUAAAGGGAGCGUAGACGGCGAUGCAAGUCUGAAGUGAAAGGCGGGGGCCCAACCCCCGGACUGCUUUGGAAACUGUAUGGCUGGAGUGCAGGAGAGGUAAGUGGAAUUCCUAGUGUAGCGGUGAAAUGCGUAGAUAUUAGGAGGAACACCAGUGGCGAAGGCGGCUUACUGGACUGUAACUGACGUUGAGGCUCGAAAGCGUGGGGAGCAAACAGGAUUAGAUACCCCGGUAU